AUUUCUGUCACUGUAUACAGCGUUCUCCUGGUUCUGCUCAGCAUUUAUUGUCGUUAUGAAGAGGAAACAGAAGUACGGUAAAUGGUUAAAUACAAGUCUUUUAAGUGAUUUUAGAGCUCACUUCAAAAGUUCUAGAAGGUUCUAGUGCUUGAUAAAUCAACAAAUGUGAACUGCAGACUGCAGCAUUUUCAGAAUCUCACCAUCCAAAAGCCCUUAUCCGCUGGACCUCUAUGCUGAAUUUCCUCCAUGACAGUGAUAAAUACAUUUGUCAAGAAUAAA